rnacentral:lncRNA from 1 species
UAAAAUUACUUUUACAAUGACACGUGGGCCCCCAACUAACCAAUAAGAUGCGAGUUUGUGAACCUAUAAUUUUGUCAAUGCAAGGCUAACUGAAGUCCUUGAUGCAAUCGGCUAUCUACCGGCUAUCCCGAACCUAAAAUGUGGGGAAUUAAGGGUGGUGAGAUUAUAAAAUCCCAGUGAGUAAAUAGACACCAUCUAAACUAUCUAAAGGCGAGUAAAUGAAGACAAUUAAAAAAUAAUUAACUUCAGCAAAUUUUUCACAUCACGAAUAUUCAUUUCAACCAAAUAAUCAAUAUGGCUCGUGAAUUACUCAAAACUUGGCUCAUGCCAAAUCCUGUACUCGGUGACACCUGGACCAAGGGUAUCCAACCGAGCCUGCCAAGGCUAUUAAAAAUUCAUAUUUCGCAUAAAUCAUAUUUUUAUUUUGAAACGUAGCCGUUCCUUGGCAUUGGCUGAGUCUCACUCUCACGCGAUGGUCCACGUAAAGUGCACUCAAAAAGCCCACCUCAGGAGAUACCCUACGCGCCUCUACGACCAAGGUGAGAAUAUAAAGGAGUUUACCGUGCCCCUCUAAUAGGCUGGCCCACGGAACCCCCCACUACUGCAGUAGCUAAUCUUUUAUCUACUACCUGAUUUAUAAAAUCUUUUUCUGCAUGACAUGGCAAUUUAUUGCAACCUAGCCUCUUAAGGCUAAAUACAUAGUACAAAUAAUUCUAACACCAAAAUCAGUUUAGCCAUUCAUGCUCAUUUAUUGUCAUAAGCCGUUCAAUUUAAAACCAUAAAUUUACAACACAAGCAGGCAGUCUCCAAUUACUCUAUUUUCAAAACCAGUAUUCGAUUUUCCAGAAAAUUUAUAAAAUCAUAAUUUCUCUUAAAACAUUGCAAUUUACCAUUUAAACUCAUUUUCCAUAAAAUCACACAAUUGUAUAAAACUACUCUAGAUAAUUAAGACGAUAAUAAGUUUACUCACAGUUUCUGAAAACUAAAUUCGGGUACUCCAACUAUUACUCCUCGGGUGUGAUUUCUUUGCCCUUGCCAAAGGAUUUGCCACCUU